UACACUAUCUGUCAAUUGUUAUGACAUUUUAAGAGGGAUGAUUUUGGCUUUCUGAUUUUUCUUUUCAGGGAAUAUACAAAGCAGGAGGAAGAAAAUUUGCAAUGAUUGGACUAGGGCCAAUUGGGUGUGUGCCGGCCAUGAGAACAUUGACCAGAAAUGGAACUUGCUCAGGUAAAGCCAACAAGCUCGCAAAGCUUCAGAACAUUGCGCUUCCUUCAAUUCUCACAAAGCUGGAGACUCAACUACAAGGAUUCGAGUACUCCUACUUCGACUUCUACACCACAGGCAGUGACAGUAUAAAAAACCCAUCAAAAUAUGGUUUUAAGGAAGCGAAAAUUGUGUGUUGUGAUUGAAGUCCUUAUAAGGCAGAACCGACCUGUGGAGGCAAGAGAGGAGUGGAGGAAUAUUCAUUAUGUCGUUAUUUGGCGAAGUACGUGUUCUUUGAUGCCAACUAUCCCAGUGAGAGGGCUAAUCAGCAAGUUGCACAAUUAAUGUGGAAUGGGAGUCUCAGUGUAAUCAAAACUCACAACCUGGAGGCAUUGUUCAAACUUGAAGGUGUUUAAAUUUUAUAAUUAUCUAGAAUUGUAGGUAAAUAACCACAUCCCACUCGAACAUCAAACUAUGAAUGACGAGGCAUGAUGUUGGAUUGAUUCUAUGGUUGCACUUCUAAUAUAGAAUGAGGAUGUUCAAAUGAGUCCUAGUAUUGUUCGAAUGGCAAUAGACUUGAAUGCUUUAUAAGUUUUGGGAAAAGUCCGAAAAAUGAGAUUGAUUAUUGCUUGAUUCUAUGCUUUUAAACGCAUUUUAAGGGCCCAAAA